rnacentral:rRNA from 1 species
GAUGAACGCUGGCGGCGUGCUUAACACAUGCAAGUCGAACGGACUGAUUGGAGCUUGCUCUAAGAAGUUAGUGGCGGACGGGUGAGUAACGCGUGAGUAACCUACCUCGUGCAGGGGAAUAACGUUUGGAAACAAACGCUAAUACCGCAUAAACUACAAUUUUCGCAUGAAGAAUGUAGCAAAGAUUUAUCGGGAUGAGAUGGACUCGCGUUGGAUUAGCUAGUUGGCGGGAUAACAGCCCACCAAGGCAACGAUCCAUAGCCGGCCUGAGAGGGUGAACGGCCACACUGGGACUGAGACACGGCCCAGACUCCUACGGGAGGCAGCAGUGGGGAAUAUUGCACAAUGGGGGAAACCCUGAUGCAGCGACGCCGCGUGAAGGAAGAAGGUUUUCGGAUUGUAAACUUCUAUCAGCAGGGAAGAAAAAAUGACGGUACCUGACUAAGAAGCCCCGGCUAACUACGUGCCAGCCGCCGCCGUAACAC